AACGAACGCUGGCGGCAUGCCUAACACAUGCAAGUCGAACGAGAUCUUCGGGUCUAGUGGCGCACGGGUGCGUAACGCAUGGGAAUCUGCCCUUUGGUUCGGAAUAACAGUUGGAGACGACUGCUAAUACCGGAUGAUGACGAAAGUCCAAAGAUUUAUCGCCAGAGGAUGAGCCCGCGUAGGAUUAGCUAGUUGGUGUGGUAAAGGCGCACCAAGGCGACGAUCCUUAGCUGGUCUGAGAGGAUGAUCAGCCACACUGGGACUGAGACACGGCCCAGACUCCUACGGGAGGCAGCAGUGGGGAAUAUUGGACAAUGGGCGAAAGCCUGAUCAGCAAUGCCGCGUGAGUGAUGAAGGCCUUAGGGUUGUAAAGCUCUUUUACCCGGGAUGAUAAUGACAGUACCGGGAGAAUAAGCUCCGGCUAACUCCGUGCCAGCAGCCGCCGUAA
rnacentral:rRNA from 1 species